CGCUGGCGGCAGGCUUAACACAUGCAAGUCGAGCGGAUGAAGGUAGCUUGCUACUGGAUUCAGCGGCGGACGGGUGAGUAAUGCUUAGGAAUCUGCCUAUUAGUGGGGGACAACGUUCCGAAAGGNGCGCUAAUACCGCAUACGUCCUACGGGAGAAAGCAGGGGACCUUNGGGCCUUGCGCUAAUAGAUGAGCCUAAGUCGGAUUAGCUAGUUGGUAGGGUAAAGGCCUACCAAGGCGACGAUCUGUAGCGGGUCUGAGAGGAUGAUCCGCCACACUGGGACUGAGACACGGCCCAGACUCCUACGGGAGGCAGCAGUGGGGAAUAUUGGACAAUGGGGGGAACCCUGAUCCAGCCAUGCCGCGUGUGUGAAGAAGGCCUUUUGGUUGUAAAGCACUUUAAGCGAGGAGGAGGCUACCUAGAUUAAUACUUUAGGAUAGUGGACGUUACUCGCAGAAUAAGCACCGGCUAACUCUGUGCCAGCAGCCGCGGUAAUACAGAGGGUGCGAGCGUUAAUCGGAUUUACUGGGCGUAAAGCGUGCGUAGGCGGCCAAUUAAGUCAAAUGUGAAAUCCCCGAGCUUAACUUGGGAAUUGCAUUCGAUACUGGUUGGCUAGAGUAUGGGAGAGGAUGGUAGAAUUCCAGGUGUAGCGGUGAAAUGCGUAGAGAUCUGGAGGAAUACCGAUGGCGAAGGCAGCCAUCUGGCCUAAUACUGACGCUGAGGUACGAAAGCAUGGGGAGCAAACAGGAUUAGAUACCCUGGUAGUCCAUGCCGUAAACGAUGUCUACUAGCCGUUGGGGCCCUUGAGGCUUUAGUGGCGCAGCUAACGCGAUAAGUAGACCGCCUGGGGAGUACGGUCGCAAGACUAAAACUCAAAUGAAUUGACGGGGGCCCGCACAAGCGGUGGAGCAUGUGGUUUAAUUCGAUGCAACGCGAAGAACCUUACCUGGCCUUGACAUAC
rnacentral:rRNA from 1 species